UCACCUCGACCCCCUACUCUUCGAGAUCUCUCGGUUGUGGAGGCCGGCCCUUCUUCGAUCCCCUUCUCGGUUUGUGAUCGCAAAAUAUGCAUCUAAUUUUGAUGAAUUAAUUGUGAAG